ACGGGUGAGUAAUGUCUGGGAAACUGCCUGAUGGAGGGGGAUAACUACUGGAAACGGUAGCUAAUACCGCAUAACGUCGCAAGACCAAAGAGGGGGACCUUCGGGCCUCUUGCCAUCAGAUGUGCCCAGAUGGGAUUAGCUAGUAGGUGGGGUAAUGGCUCACCUAGGCGACGAUCCCUAGCUGGUCUGAGAGGAAGACCAGCCACACUGGAACUGAGACACGGUCCAGACUCCUACGGGAGGCAGCAGUGGGGAAUAUUGCACAAUGGGCGCAAGCCUGAUGCAGCCAUGCCGCGUGUAUGAAGAAGGCCUUCGGGUUGUAAAGUACUUUCAGCGGGGAGGAAGGUGUUGUGGUUAAUAACCGCAGCAAUUGACGUUACCCGCAGAAGAAGCACCGGCUAACUCCGUGCCAGCAGCCGCGGUAAUACGGAGGGUGCGAGCGUUAAUCGGAAUUACUGGGCGUAAAGCGCACGCAGGCGGUCUGUCAAGUCGGAUGUGAAAUCCCCGGGCUCAACCUGGGAACUGCAUUCGAAACUGGCAGGCUAGAGUCUUGUAGAGGGGGGUAGAAUUCCAGGUGUAGCGG
rnacentral:rRNA from 1 species